GCCGAACAGCUAGCUCACCCAAAGAUAAAUCAACAUACCACAAUUAAUACCCCUAAAUACACAAGCGAUAAACCUAAAUAAAUCAUUUUUCCCCCUAAGUAUGGGCGACAAAAAAGGGACUACGAAGCAAUAGAGACAGUACCGUAAGGGAACGCUGAAAGAGAAAUGAAAGAACCCAGUUAAAGCAUAAAAAAGCAGAGACUAAAACUCGUACCUUUUGCAUCAUGAUUUAGCCAGUGAACCCCAAGCAAAAUGCUUUUUAGUUUGAAAACCCGAAACUAAGGGAGCUACUCCAAGACAGCCUGACAAUAGGGCGCACCCGUCUCUGUGGCAAAAGAGUGGGAUGAGCUUUGAGUAGAGGUGAUAAACCUACCGAACUUAGUUAUAGCUGGUUGUCCGGAAAAUGGAUACAAGUUCAGCCUCCCGGCUUCUCCAUUCAUCUAAGUACAGACCUUCCCUGAUACCCACAAGAAACCGUGAGAGUUAUUCAAAGGGGGUACAGCCCCUUUGAAAUAAGACACAACUUUCCACAGGAGGGUAAAGAUCAUAAUAACCCAAGGUAUGCAACUCUCGUGGGCCCGAAAGCAGCCACCCCCAAAGAAAGCGUUUAAGCUCAAAGCAACUCCAUACCCCCCCCCGAUCCCGAUCACCUAAUCCCACCCCCCUAACUCUACUGGACCAUCCCAUGCAAACAUGGGAGUGACAAUGCUAAUAUGAGUAAUAAGAGAGACCUAAGUCUCUCUCCCUGCACACGUGUAAAUCGAAAUGGACUCCCCACCGAAACUUAACGGCCCCAAACAAAGAGGGCACUGAACAACAAACCAAACAACAAGAAAUACCCCCAACAACUAACCGUUAACUCAACACAGACGUGCUCCUAGGGAAAAACUAAAAGGAGGGGAAGGAACUCGGCAAACAAAGGCCUCGCCUGUUUACCAAAAACAUCGCCUCUUGCAACACUGAUGAAUAAGAGGUCCCGCCUGCCCUGUGACUAUAAGUUUAACGGCCGCGGUAUUUUGACCGCGCGAAGGUAGCGCAAUCACUUGUCUCCUAAAUAGAGACCUGUAUGAAUGGCAUAACGAGGGCCUAGCUGUCUCCCCCUCCCAGUUAAUGAAAUUGAUCUUUCCGUGCAGAAGCGGGAAUAUAACCAUAAGACGAGAAGACCCUAUGAAGCUUUAGAUAAAAGGUAGAUCAAACUACAACAUCCCCAAAACAAAGGGCUGAACCAAAUGAUUUCUACCCUAAUGUCUUUGGUUGGGGUGACCGCGGGGAAAUAAAAAACCCCCAUGUGGAACGGGAGUAUUACUCCUUUAACUAAGAGCAACAGCUCUAAUAAACAGAAUUUUUGACCAAUAAGAUCCGGCAACGCCGAUCAACGGACCGAGUUACUCUAGGGAUAACAGCGCAAUCCUCUUUUAGAGACCAUAUCAACAAGAGGGUUUACGACCUCGAUGUUGGAUCAGGACAUCCUAUUGGUGCAGCCGCUAUUAAGGGUUCGUUUGUUCAACGAUUAAAGUCCUACGUGAUCUGAGUUCAGACCGGAGUAAUCCAGGUCGGUUUCUAUCUAUGAUAUACUCUUCUCUAGUACGAAAGGACCGAAAAGAAAAGGUCCAUAUAUAAUACACACCUUCUCCCCACCUAAUGAAAACAACUAAAAUAGUUAGGGGGUAUACCUAGCCGCCAGAGAAAAUGGCA
rnacentral:rRNA from 1 species